CAAUAGCGUAUAUUAAAGCUGUUGCGGUUAAAAAGCUCGUAGUUGGAUUUCUGUCAAGGACAACUGGUCCGCCCUCCGGGUGAGCACAUAGUUUGGUCUUGACAUCUUGCUGGAAGCUGUUGCUGCACUUGGCUGUGUGGCGCAGUGUUCAGCACUUUCACUUUGAGGAAAUUGGAGUGUUUCAAGCAGGCACAUGCCUUUGGACACAGUAGCAUGGAAUAAUUAGAUUGGGCUUUUGCUCCAAUUUGUCGGUUUCUGGAGCUGAGGUGAGUAUUAAUGGGGAUUGUUGGGGGCAUCCGAAUUUAGCCGUCAGAGGCGAAAUUCUUGGAUCUGCUAAAGACGGACAACUGCGAAAGCGUUUGCCCAGGAUGUUUUCAUUGA
rnacentral:rRNA from 1 species